rnacentral:rRNA from 1 species
GACGUAGGGGCGAGCGUUGUCCGGAAUUACUGGGCGUAAAGAGCACGUAGGCGGGAACUUAAGUCAGGUGUGAAAGACCCUGGCUCAACCACGGGUAUGCAUUUGAAACUGGGUUUCUUGAGGGCAGGAGAGGAAAGCAGAAUUCCUGGUGUAGCGGUGAAAUGCGUAGAAAUCAGGAGGAAUACCAGUGGCGAAGGCGGCUUUCUGGACUGACCCUGACGCUGAGGUGCGAAAGCGUGGGUAGCAAACAGGAUUAGAUACCCUGGUAGUCCCUGA